rnacentral:rRNA from 1 species
GUAGGUGGCAAGCGUUGUCCGGAAUUAUUGGGCGUAAAGCGCGCGCAGGCGGUUCUUUAAGUCUGAUGUGAAAGCCCACGGCUCAACCGUGGAGGGUCAUUGGAAACUGGAGAACUCGAGUACAGAAGAGGAAAGCGGAAUUCCACGUGUAGCGGUGAAUGCGUAGAGAUGUGGAGGAACACCAGUGGCGAAGGCGGCUUUCUGGUCUGUAACUGACGCUGAGGCGCGAAAGCGUGGGGAGCAAACAGGAUUAGAUACCCUGGUAGUCCACGCCGUAAACGAUGAGUGCUAAGUGUUAGGGGGUUUCCGCCCCCCUUAGUGCUGCAGCUAACGCAUUAAGCACUCCGCCUGGGAGUACGGCCGCAAGGCUG